UUCGGGGCGAGGAUAGAAGACUGAUUCCACCAGUUGUGUCUGUCUCCACCUUCACACACCACUGAAUUCCUUCGACAUUUUGAACAGUCUCCUGAGUAGCAGAGGAUGGUACUUUCUACGACAAGAGGAAGUUUACUACAGAUGAUGUUGAUGUCUCCAGUGGAAACAUCUCGGGGCUGAAGUGGGCACUGCGACACUGCCGGAACUGGGCUCUGCUGACAUGGAUUGGGUCGGCCAGUCGAGUGACUUGCCAGUCUGGAUGAAAAAUUCGCAUGGCAUCUUGGAAUCCCUGGGCUUACCGGGCAUCACCGUCUGAUGUGGCGUGCUUCACCUUGAACCCGUCCGCUGCCAGAUCUUCGCCUAUGGAUUUAGCCAUCUCGUACUCUGAAAGAGGGCUAGAGUGGCUGUGUUGACCUGGUUGCUGGCCCUUUGCAUGGAACUGCGGUUAGGAGGUGGAAUGUCCAAGGCAGCUACCAUUUCCCGACUGCGUCGAUUCCCC